rnacentral:rRNA from 1 species
AACGAACGCUGGCGGCAUGCCUAACACAUGCAAGUCGAACGAGACCUUCGGGUCUAGUGGCGCACGGGUGCGUAACGCGUGGGAACCUGCCCUUAGGUUCGGAAUAACUCCCCGAAAGGGGUGCUAAUACCGGAUAAUGUCUUCGGACCAAAGAUUUAUCGCCUUUGGAUGGGCCCGCGUUGGAUUCGCUAGUUGGUAGGGUAAAAGCCUGCCAAGGCGACGAUCCAUAGCUGGUCUGAGAGGAUGAUCAGCCACACUGGGACUGGGACACGGCCCAGACUCCAACGGGAGGCAGCAGUGGGGAAAAUAGGGCAAGGGGCGAAAGCCUGAGCCAGCAAUGCCGCGAGAGUGAUGAAGGGCUUAGGAUUGUAAAGCGCUUUUACCCGGGAUGAUAAUGAGAGUACCGGGAGAAUAGGCUCCGGCUACCACCGU